AGCCCGGCUCCUGGCGCGCCUCGGAGAGGCCCGGGGCUGUGGGGGCGCGAAGCCUCCAGUCCGGAGCCCUGCGGGAAGCGGCCGCUGCAGGCAGGUUGGCCCCCGCCUGUGGGCGGUGCAGCGCAGGGGGGGCUCCUGGGCGGCCUGCUUAGGCAUCCUAAGCCUCUGGCCAUCAUCACCCAGCCUCUUGCUCCGUAAUAAAGGGGGGGGGCUCGCCUCCCCCAUCCCCCCUUUGCCUCGUGGCUCUGGGCAAACAGGGCUCCCAGUCGCCAGUAAGAGGUGGCUAAAAUCAUGUUGGGGAAACUGAGGCAGGAGGAAACGCUGGAGGGGGAAGGGUGGCGGGAUGGUAACGCACCACAGCACCAGAGACAGGUAAUAGAGAUGUGUAGCGACGCGAGGACCAGGCCGCUGGUGCAGGCUAUGAAUGUACUGGGGCGAACACAGGAGCAGAAGCCAAGAAAACAAGAGCAACCCGCUGGGGUGGAACUUCUAGUGGAAGGGCAGAGGGCUCCUCAAAGGUAGCUGGUCAACAUGGAUGCCCUGGUGAUUAGCACUGCAGUGCCGGCUCCAGCUCUUUUGCCGUCCCAAGCGGUG